rnacentral:rRNA from 1 species
CUGCGGGACCCGACUGCUAUCGGAGUGGGACUAAGCCAUGCGAGUCGAACGCCUCCGGACCAUGUUGGAGACGUGGCGUACGGCUCACUAACACGUAGUCAACCUAACCUGGAGACGCGGACAACCCCGGGAAACUGGGACUAAUCCGCGAUAGACCAAGACAUCUGGAAGGAGUCUUGAUCCAAAGGGAUGUGUGAGCAUGUUUACACAUUCGCUUCAGGAUGGGACUGCGGCCUAUCAGCUUGUUGGUGAGGUAAUGGCCCACCAAGGCUAUAACAGGUACGGGCUCUGAGAGGAGAAGCCCGGAGAUGGGUACUGAGACACGGACCCAGGCCCUAUGGGGCGCAGCAGGCGAGAAACCUUACCAAUGUGCGAAAGCACGACUAGGUUAAUCCGAGUGAUUUCUGCUGAAGAAAUCUUUUGUCAGUUUUAAAACUACCGAUGAAUAAGGGGUGGGCAAGUCUGGUGUCAGCCGCCGCGGUAAUACCAGCACCUCGAGUGGUCAGGAGGUUUAUUGGGCCUAAAGCAUCCGUAGCCGGCUUUGCAAGUCUCCGGUUAAAUCCAGCUGCCUAACAGAUGGGCUGCCGGAGAUACUACAAAGCUAGGGAGCGGGAGAGGCAGACGGUAUUCGGUGGGUAGGGGUAAAAUCCUCUGAUCCAUUGAGGACCACCAGUGGCGAAUGCGGUCUGCCAGAACGCGUUCGACGGUGAGGGAUGAAAGCUAGGGGAGCAAACCGGAUACAUACCCGGGUAGUCCCAGCUGUAAACGAUGCAAACUCGUGAUGCAUUGGCUUAUGGCCAAUGCAGUGCCGCAGGGAAGCCGUUAAGUUUGCGCUUGGGAAGUACGGUCGCAGACUGAUACUUAAAGGAAUUGGCCGGGGGAGCACCACAAGGGGUGAAGCUGCGGGUUCAAUUGGAGUCACGCCAGCGAAUCUUACUUGGGGAGACAGCAGAAUGAAGGUCAAGCUGAAGACUUUACCAGACAAGCUGAGAGGAGGUGCAUGGCCGUCGCCAGCUCGUGCCGUGAGGUGUCCUGUUAAGUCAGGUAACGAGCGAGAUCCUGCCAUUAGUUGCGAGAGUUAUUCUCAGGAAUAGCUCAGCUAACUAGGGGGACCGCCACUGCUGAAGUGGAGGAAGGAGGGGGCCACGGCAGGUCAGUAUGCCCCGAAACCCUAGGGCUACACGCGGGCUGCAAUGGUAGCGACAACGGGUUCCGAACUUGAAAGAGAGAGGCAAUCCCUAAACGCUACCUCAGUUAUGACUGAGGGCUGCAACUCGCCCUCACGAAUAUGGAAUCCCUAGUAACCGCGCGUCACAACCGCGCAGCGAAUACGUCCCUGCUCCUGCACACAC